UACGUAGGGUCCGAGCGUUGUCCGGAAUUACUGGGCGUAAAGCGUGCGCAGGCGGUUUUGUAAGCCAGAUGUGAAAUCCCCGGGCUUAACCUGGGAAUGGCAUUUGGGACUGCAAGGCUCGAGUGCGGCAGAGGAGACUGGAAUUCCUGGUGUAGCAGUGAAAUGCGUAGAUAUCAGGAGGAACACCGAUGGCGAAGGCAGGUCUCUGGGCUGACACUGACGCUCAUGCACGAAAGCGUGGGGAGCAAACAGG
rnacentral:rRNA from 1 species